UUUUAUAUAUGUGUAAGUAUAUUUAGGUUAGUAUGUAUACUUUAUUUGUUUGUAAAUAAUGUGAGUUUCUUUAGCUAUUAAGUUAUUUUUGUCGAAUCUUUAGCUAUUAAGUUGGUCUAGUUGUUUGGUGUUAUAUUUCUACUUUUCUUCAGUCCAAUGAAUGUGCAAUUUCGUGGUUAAUAUAUUCUUUAUUCUCAGUUUUUUGUUAUUUUUUGGGUUUGCUUGUAAAUUGAAGUAGAUGAUGAUGAGUGAUGAGGGUCACCCAAUGGAUAAUAAAUUGAAGUAGAUGGUGAUGAGGGUAAUUCAAUUGAGAGACAGUAAGAGUGAGGGAUGAUCUAUGCUGAAUAAUUCUUUAGUAGAUUGUUUUGUAUUGAAAUGUUAAAGUAAUAGUUUUUUGCCAAUGAUGUAUGAUUAAUUUGUUACUCCAUUAAUGUUAUGUAUAUCAAAUAUUUUAGAUGAGUAGUUCUGGAGAGUUCACAAGAAGGGCCCAACAUUGACUUGGGGGAUGAUCUAGAGGGAGAUGGUUCUACAGGUGGUACUGGGCACCGAUGAAUUUCUUCCUCAACAACAAUAUUUGAUUCAUGUAUUCAAGGGAUAUAACAAUGAAGAAUAUUGAAAAGUUGUGGAGAAGUUUCAAGAGUAAUGUGAAGAAAGUUUAUUAUAAACCUUUCACAGGAAAUAAAAGACAGUGUGGGGAUUAUUUGUUUUUAGGGGGGAUGUAGACCCUACUGAGACUGACUGUUUAGAAUCAGAUCAAGGUACUCAAGGACUUGAAUAGAUGCAGUUAGUGUUAUGCAUUUUUGGUAUAGUGGUUGAUUGUAUUUUGGACCCUAAUGAUGUAUGCAUACUUUUGUAGUGUACUUGUUGAAUAAUUGGCAUUGCAUAGUUUUGUACAGUAAGGGCAACUAAAGUUAUUGAACUCUAUUGAUGUACCUAGGAAGAUCUUUGUAAUAAUUUGGCUAUUGUAAUCAACAUUGCCACAUUGGUACUUCAUAUUUUAUAAGGAUGGUGAAUGUAUGGUUCAA